rnacentral:rRNA from 1 species
AGAGUUUGAUCAUGGCUCAGAUUGAACGCUGGCGGAAUGCUUUACACAUGCAAGUCGAACGGCAGCACGGGGCAACCUGGUGGCGAGUGGCGAACGGGUGAGUAAUACAUCGGAACGUGCCCAAUCGUGGGGGAUAACGUAGCGAAAGUUACGCUAAUACCGCAUACGAUCUACGGAUGAAAGCGGGGGAUCGCAAGACCUCGCGCGAAUGGAGCGGCCGAUGUCAGAUUAGGUAGUUGGUGGGGUAAAGGCUCACCAAGCCGACGAUCUGUAGCUGGUCUGAGAGGACGACCAGCCACACUGGGACUGAGACACGGCCCAGACUCCUACGGGAGGCAGCAGUGGGGAAUUUUGGACAAUGGGCGCAAGCCUGAUCCAGCCAUUCCCGCGUGCAGGAUGAAGGCCUUCGGGUUGUAAACUGCUUUUGUACGGAACGAAACGGUUCUCUCUAAUACAGGGGGCUAAUGACGGUACCGUAAGAAUAAGCACCGGCUAACUACGUG